CGUAUCACCCAAGACAACUUUACGGAGUUGACGAUUGACGGAGCGAAGCGACGUCAAAGCGUUCAUUAAAGUCGAGUUGGCUUAGGGAUACGUUCGUUGGGUAGGGGAGCGUUCUGUAAGCCUGUGAAGGUGUGUCGUGAGGCAUGCUGGAGGUAUCAGAAGUGCGAAUGCUGACAUAAGUAACGAUAAAGCGGGUGAAAAGCCCGCUCGCCGGAAGACCAAGGGUUCCUGUCCAACGUUAAUCGGGGCAGGGUGAGUCGACCCCUAAGGCGAGGCCGAAAGGCGUAGUCGAUGGGAAACGGGUUAAUAUUCCCGUACUUGGUGUUACUGCGAAGGGGGGACGGAGAAGGCUAUGUUGGCCGGGCGACGGUUGUCCCGGUUUAAGCGUGUAGGUGUGUGUUCCAGGUAAAUCCGGUUCACUUUAACACUGAG
rnacentral:rRNA from 1 species